CGAAAGCCUGACGGAGCAACGCCGCGUGUGGGAAGAAGGCCUUUGGGCUGUCAACCACUUUUCUCAGGGAAGAAGUUCUGACGGUACCUGAGGAAUCAGCCUCGGCUAACUCCGUGCCAGCAGCCGCGGUAAUACGGAGGAGGCAAGCGUUAUCCGGAAUCAUUGGGCGUAAAGCGUUCGUAGGGGGCUCGUCAAGUCUGCUGUCAAAGCUCGGAGCUCAACUCCGACCCGGCAGUGGAAACUGGGGAGCUAGAGGGCGGCAGGGGCAGAAGGAAUUCCCAGUGUAGCGGUGAAAUGCGUAGAUAUUGGGAAGAACACCGGUGGCGAAAGCGCUUUGCUGGACCGAACCUGACGCUGAGGGACGAAAGCUAGGGGAGCG
rnacentral:rRNA from 1 species